rnacentral:rRNA from 1 species
UACGGAGGGUGCAAGCGUUAUCCGGAUUCACUGGGUUUAAAGGGUGCGUAGGUGGGCUAGUAAGUCCGUGGUGAAAUCUCUGAGCUUAACUCGGAAACUGCCGUGGAUACUAUUAGUCUUGAAUCUCGUGGAGGUAAGCGGAAUAUGUCAUGUAGCGGUGAAAUGCUUAGAUAUGACAUAGAACACCAAUUGCGAAGGCAGCUGGCUACACAAAUAUUGACGCUGAGGCACGAAAGCGUGGGGAUCAAACAGG